AUUGAACGCUGGCGGCAGGCCUAACACAUGCAAGUCGAACGGUAACAGGAAGAAGCUUGCUUCUUUGCUGACGAGUGGCGGACGGGUGAGUAAUGUCUGGGAAACUGCCUGAUGGAGGGGGAUAACUACUGGAAACGGUAGCUAAUACCGCAUAAUGUCGCAAGACCAAAGAGGGGGACCUUCGGGCCUCUUGCCAUCGGAUGUGCCCAGAUGGGAUUAGCUAGUAGGUGGGGUAACGGCUCACCUAGGCGACGAUCCCUAGCUGGUCUGAGAGGAUGAACAGCCACACUGGAACUGAGACACGGUCCAGACUCCUACGGGAGGCAGCAGUGGGGAAUAUUGGACAAUGGGCGCAAGCCUGAUGCAGCUAUGCCGCGUGUAUGAAGAAGGCCUUCGGGUUGUAAAGUACUUUCAGCGGGGAGGAAGGGAGUAAAGUUAAUACCUUUGCUCAUUGACGUUACCCGCAGAAGAAGCACCGGCUAACUCCGUG
rnacentral:rRNA from 1 species